ACGAACGCUGGCGGCAUGCCUAACACAUGCAAGUCGAACGAUGCCUUCGGGCAUAGUGGCGCACGGGUGCGUAACGCGUGGGAAUCUGCCUUGGGGUUCGGAAUAACUCCCCGAAAGGGGUGCUAAUACCGGAUGAUGUCGAAAGACCAAAGAUUUAUCGCCCUGAGAUGAGCCCGCGUAGGAUUAGCUAGUUGGUGUGGUAAAGGCGCACCAAGGCGACGAUCCUUAGCUGGUCUGAGAGGAUGAUCAGCCACACUGGGACUGAGACACGGCCCAGACUCCUACGGGAGGCAGCAGUGGGGAAUAUUGGACAAUGGGCGAAAGCCUGAUCCAGCAAUGCCGCGUGAGUGAUGAAGGCCUUAGGGUUGUAAAGCUCUUUUACCCGGGAAGAUAAUGACUGUACCGGGAGAAUAAGCCCCGGCUAACUCCGU
rnacentral:rRNA from 1 species